AGCGGCGGACGGGUGAGUAACGCGUGGGUAACCUGCCCUAUACACAUGGAUAACAUACUGAAAAGUUUACUAAUACAUGAUAAUAUAUAUUUGCGGCAUCGCAGAUAUAUCAAAGUGUUAGCGGUAUAGGAUGGACCCGCGUCUGAUUAGCUAGUUGGUGAGAUAACUGCCCACCAAGGCGACGAUCAGUAGCCGACCUGAGAGGGUGAUCGGCCACAUUGGAACUGAGACACGGUCCAAACUCCUACGGGAGGCAGCAGUGGGGAAUAUUGCACAAUGGGCGAAAGCCUGAUGCAGCAACGCCGCGUGAACGAUGAAGGUCUUCGGAUCGUAAAGUUCUGUUGCAGGGGAAGAUAAUGACGGUACCCUGUGAGGAAGCCCCGGCUAACUACGUGCCAGCAGCCGCGGUAAUACGUAGGGGGCUAGCGUUAUCCGGAUUUACUGGGCGUAAAGGGUGCGUAGGUGGUCCUUCAAGUCGGUGGUUAAAGGCUACGGCUCAACCGUAGUAAGCCGCCGAAACUGGAGGACUUGAGUGCAGGAGAGGAAAGUGGAAUUCCCAGUGUAGCGGUGAAAUGCGUAGAUAUUGGGAGGAACACCAGUAGC
rnacentral:rRNA from 1 species